ACGAGUGUACAACAAAAAAUCAACAGUGAGGUUAAUCCGAGGUGCGAUUAUUGCUAGUUGAAAACUUUACCAAUACCCCGCCUUGUGGACGUGAAAUACCGUCCACUAUGGCACUUUUUGAAAGGCCUUCAUCGGC